UUUUGUUUCACUUGCACUGAUUCAUUAUCAUGUGAGUGUGAUAUGAGUAUGAGGCUGCGAGGCAACAUGGAAAGACCAAAAUAGAAUUGAACAGGCCUUGUUUCAAACUGAGUCUCUGCUUCAGACUAUCAAGGCUAUAUUGAGCUCUGUCUACCUGCCCUCCAUCAUACCUUUCAUAGUCUGGGGUUUCCGGAUGUUUGUGACCUGAUCAAUAUUCCAGGUCUCCUUAUCUGCAUCAUUCAAAUGUAAAGGUCAUGAAUAAAAUCAUCUCCUGGUUCAUGUUGUCUCUCGAACCCACCACUGAACUUUACAGUUUCCAACAUCUUAUUGUUGCUCACUGGACUACACUGAUUAAAAGCAACAUGAACUGGCAGAAUCUAUUGGAUUUUAUGGGCCAUAUUUUGAGGUGGGAGAGGGUGACUCUGGAGUCUCUUUCAGUCCCAGCAUUGGCCAGUGAUUGCGAUGACACUACUGCUACUGAAGAACUGCCGGACAUCUGAUUAUUCUUCAGCUCUUAGAGACAGCUGAGGAGUGAAAUCCACAAGGGCAGUCAACAGAAUGAAUUAAUCCAUAUAAAAUCUCGGCGUGUUACUGGUGGAGAAGGCUUACCCCUGACUUUCUGGUUUGUGGAUUGGGCCACUACUACCCUGUGAAAAGCCUUGCCUUGACACUGAUAUUUUUGUGCCAUUGAGCAGGCAUGUAAAAUUAAAAUGUUACUCAAAUUUUCUCGUAUCUCGCCAUACUCAAACAAUUGCCUGGUAACAAAUUGGUUUGUACAUAGAACAUAGAACAGUACAGCACAGUACAGUCCCUUCAGCCCUCAAUGUUGUGCUGGCUUUUUAUCCUAC